rnacentral:rRNA from 1 species
GGACUACUGGGGUAUCUAAUCCCGUUUGCUCCCCCAGCUUUCGCCUCUCAGCGUCAGAUUCCGACCAGAAAGUCGCCUUCGCCACUGGUGUUCCUCCCAAUAUCUACGCAUUUCACCGCUACACUGGGAAUUCCACUUUCCUCUUCGAAUCUCAAGGCUGGCAGUUUCCCAAAGAAUUCUGCAGUUGAGCUGCCGAUUUUACUCUGAGACAUACCAACCCGCCUACAGGCGCUUUACGCCCAGUAAUUCCGGACAACGCUCGCCCCCUACGUUUUACCGCGGCUGCUGGCAC